ensembl:misc_RNA Metazoa_SRP Metazoan signal recognition particle RNA
GCCAGGUGUGGUGGUAACAUGCCUGUAGUCCCAGAUACUCAGGAGGCUGAGGCAGGAGAAUCGCUUGAGCCCAGGAAUUCGAGGCUGCAGUGAGCUAUGAUGCCACUGUACUCCAGCCUGGGCAACAAAGUGAGACCCUGUCUCAA